rnacentral:rRNA from 1 species
GAUGAACGCUGGCGGCGUGCCUAAUACAUGCAAGUCGAGCGAACAGAUGAGGAGCUUGCUCCUCUGACGUUAGCGGCGGACGGGUGAGUAACACGUGGAUAACCUACCUAUAAGACUGGGAUAUCUUCGGGAAACCGGAGCUAAUACCGGAUAAUAUAUUGAACCGCAUGGUUCAAUAGUGAAAGACGGUUUUGCUGUCACUUAUAGAUGGAUCCGCGCCGCAUUAGCUAGUUGGUAAGGUAACGGCUUACCAAGGCAACGAUGCGUAGCCGACCUGAGAGGGUGAUCGGCCACACUGGAACUGAGACACGGUCCAGACUCCUACGGGAGGCAGCAGUAGGGAAUCUUCCGCAAUGGGCGAAAGCUUGACGGAGCAACGCCGCGUGAGUGAUGAAGGUCUUCGGAUCGUAAAACUCUGUUAUUAGGGAAGAACAAAUGUGUAAGUAACUAUGCACGUCUUGACGGUACCUAAUCAGAAAGCCACGGCUAACUACGUG